UACGUAGGGGGCAAGCGUUGUCCGGAUUUAUUGGGCGUAAAGAGCGUGUAGGCGGCCAUACAGGUCCGUUGUGAAAACUGGAGGCUUAACCUCCAGACGUCGAUGGAAACCGUAUGGCUAGAGUCCGGAAGAGGAGAGUGGAAUUCCUGGUGUAGCGGUGAAAUGCGCAGAUAUCAGGAGGAACACCGGUGGCGAAGGCGGUUCUCUGGGCAUGUCCUGACGUGAGGAGCGAAAGUGUGGGGAGCGAACAGG
rnacentral:rRNA from 1 species